GGGGGCUUCUCUGAAGCAUGGAGAUAAAAGGAGACCCGCCUGGGAACCAGAGAGAAUUGAGGCCGUCUAAACAGGAAGGGAGGAAGGAGAGAGGAAGAGACAGGGCACAGGGGAGACUAGGGGUGAAAAAGCAACCGCUGAGGGAGAGUCUGACGCAGGGGUGAGGGGUGGAGAUGAGGAAAGAGAGCUUGGAAGAGAAAUUGAGGAAGGAUGGGUCAGUGGGAAGACUGAAGGCUAUUGCAGGACUUGAACUAAGAGGUCACUUCUCUGGGCAAUGAAAGAACCGGCACCUGCCUCUGUGAAAUCAUCUACCAUAUUGGCUUGUGAUCAUGCUGACCCAGCUUUCCCUCUGGACUGCCAGCUUUCUGAGGGGCAACUCUGGCUAUUCAGUCAUCUCUCUGUACCUGCUAGUGCCUGGCCCGGAGGAGGGCUUGUUUGAAUGAAUAAAUGGAUUCACUCAGGAGCUGGGAUUUGAACCUAGAAACCAUGGAGAAACGUGAAAACUCAAAUGUGCCCCGAACCAGUCUCAACCCCCAAGUCAAGGAAUGCAAAAGCUAACCCUUCAGCAGCACUUACCGCACGGUGUUGUAGUUGCCGACUGGCACGUCCUCGCCGGGACAGAGUCUACAGGUGUUCACUGUCGGAUCCUCAGGCCCAUCGCGUGGCCGAGGUUCAUCAAGAAUUGUCGACUGAAGGAACGUCUACUCACCGCACUAAUGAUAUCAUGAAAUAACAGUAAUAAUAAUCACGAAAAUAACUAACAUUUCUUUAAUGUGUACUAUAUCCUAAGUACUUCAAGUGAUUUUGGUCAGGAACAGGCUUUUAUG
rnacentral:lncRNA from 1 species